rnacentral:rRNA from 1 species
GAUGAACGCUGGCGGCGUGCCUAAUACAUGCAAGUCGAGCGAACAGACGAGGAGCUUGCUCCUCUGACGUUAGCGGCGGACGGGUGAGUAACACGUGGAUAACCUGCCUAUAAGACUGGGAUAACUUCGGGAAACCGGAGCUAAUACCGGAUAAUAUAUUGAACCGCAUGGUUCAAUAGUGAAAGACGGUUUUGCUGUCACUUAUAGAUGGAUCCGCGCCGCAUUAGCUAGUUGGUAAGGUAACGGCUUACCAAGGCAACGAUGCGUAGCCGACCUGAGAGGGUGAUCGGCCACACUGGAACUGAGACACGGUCCAGACUCCUACGGGAGGCAGCAGUAGGGAAUCUUCCGCAAUGGGCGAAAGCCUGACGGAGCAACGCCGUGUGAGUGAUGAAGGUCUUCGGAUCGUAAAACUCUGUUAUUAGGGAAGAACAAAUGUGUAAGUAACUAUGCACGUCUUGACGGUACCUAAUCAGAAAGCCACGGCUAACUACGUG